UACGUAGGGUCCAAGCGUUGUCCGGAUUUAUUGGGCGUAAAGAGCUCGUAGGCGGUUUCGUAAGUCGGAUGUGAAAACUCAGGGCUCAACCCGGAGACGCCAUCCGAUACUGCGAUGACUUGAGUCUGGUAGGGGAACACGGAAUUCCUGGUGUAGCGGUGAAAUGCGCAGAUAUCAGGAGGAACACCGAUGGCGAAGGCAGUGUUCUGGGCCAGUACUGACGCCGAGGAGCGAAAGCGUGGGGAGCAAACAGG
rnacentral:rRNA from 1 species